rnacentral:rRNA from 1 species
UACGAGUGCCCCAAGCGUUAUCCGGAAUCAUUGGGCGUAAAGGGUGUGUAGGUGGUGAUGUUAGUCUCCUGUCAAAACUUAGGGCUCAACCCUAAUCUCGCAGGGGAAACGGCAUUACUCGAGGGUGCGAGAGGUGAAUGGAACUCAUGGAGUAGGGGUGAAAUCCGUUGAUAUCAUGGGGAACACCAAAAGCGAAGGCAAUUCACUGGCGCAUUCCUGACACUGAAACACGAAAGCGUGGGUAGCGAACGGG